GUGGGGAAUAUUGGACAAUGGGCGCAAGCCUGAUCCAGCCAUGCCGCGUGAGUGAUGAAGGCCCUAGGGUUGUAAAGCUCUUUCACCGAUGAAGAUAAUGACGGUAGUCGGAGAAGAAGCCCCGGCUAACUUCGUGCCAGCAGCCGCGGUAAUACGAAGGGGGCUAGCGUUGUUCGGAAUUACUGGGCGUAAAGCGCACGUAGGCGGAUAUUUAAGUCAGGGGUGAAAUCCCAGAGCUCAACUCUGGAACUGCCUUUGAUACUGGGUAUCUCGAGUAUGGAAGAGGUGAGUGGAAUUCCGAGUGUAGAGGUGAAAUUCGUAGAUAUUCGGAGGAACACCAGUGGCGAAGGCGGCUCACUGGUCCAUUACUGACGCUGAGGUGCGAAAGCGUGGGGAGCAAACAGGAUUAGAUACCCCAGUAGUCCU
rnacentral:rRNA from 1 species